AGGCGGGAGGUGCCCGUACCGCAAACCGACACAGGUAGGCGAGAAGAGAAUUCUAAGGUGAGCGAGUGAACUCUCGUUAAGGAACUCGGCAAAAUGACCCCGUAACUUCGGGAGAAGGGGUGCUCUGGUAGGGUGUUACAGCCCGAGAGAGCCGCAGUGAAUAGGCCCAGGCGACUGUUUAGCAAAAACACAGGUCUCUGCAAAACCGUAAGGUGACGUAUAGGGGCUGACGCCUGCCCGGUGCUGGAAGGUUAAGGGGAGUGCUUAGCGCAAGCGAAGGUGCGAACUGAAGCCCCAGUAAACGGCGGCCGUAACUAUAACGGUCCUAAGGUAGCGAAAUUCCUUGUCGGGUAAGUUCCGACCCGCACGAAAGGCGUAACGAUCUGGGCACUGUCUCAACGAGAGACUCGGUGAAAUUAUAGUACCUGUGAAGAUGCAGGUUACCCGCGACAGGACGGAAAGACCCCGUGGAGCUUUACUGCAGCCUGAUAUUGAAUUUUGGUGCAACUUGUACAGGAUAGGUAGGAGCCAGAGAACCCGGAGCGCCAGCUUCGGGGGAGGCGUCGGUGGGAUACUACCCUGGUUGUAUUGAAAUUCUAACCCACGCCCCUGAUCGGGGCGGGAGACAGUGUCAGGCGGGCGCGGUCGCCUCCUAAAGAGUAACGGAGGCGCCCAAAGGUUCCCUCAGAAUGGUUGGAAAUCAUUCGCAGAGUGUAAAGGCACAAGGGAGCUUGACUGCGAGACGUACAGGUCGAGCAGGGUCGAAAGACGGGCUUAGUGAUCCGGUGGUUCCGCAUGGAAGGGCCAUCGCUCAACGGAUAAAAGCUACCCCGGGGAUAACAGGCUUAUCUCCCCCAAGAGUCCACAUCGACGGGGAGGUUUGGCACCUCGAUGUCGGCUCAUCGCAUCCUGGGGCUGUAGUCGGUCCCAAGGGUUGGGCUGUUCGCCCAUUAAAGCGGUACGCGAGCUGGGUUCAGAACGUCGUGAGACAGUUCGGUCCCUAUCCGUCGCGGGCGCAGGAAAUUUGAGAGGAGCUGUCCUUAGUACGAGAGGACCGGGAUGGACACACCGCUGGUGUACCAGUUGUUCCGCCAGGGGCAUCGCUGGGUAGCUAUGUGUGGCCGGGAUAAGUGCUGAAAGCAUCUAAGCACGAAGCCCCCCUCAAGAUGAGAUUUCCCAUUGCGCAAGCAAGUAAGAUCCCUCAAAGACGAUGAGGUAGAUAGGUUCGGGGUGGAAGCGUGGCGACACGUGCAGCUGACGAAUACUAAUCGAUCGAGGACUUAACCAA
rnacentral:rRNA from 2 species